rnacentral:rRNA from 1 species
AUGGUAUGUACUGUCUUUACUGAUUCCUCCUUCUUGAAGAACUGUAAUGUCAUUAAUUUGGUGUUGCAGGGAAACAGGACUGUUACUUUGAAAAAAUUAGAGUGUUUAAAGCAGGCUCGCGCUUGAAUACAUUGGCAUGGAAUAAUGAAAUAGGACGUUGAUCCUAUUUUGUUGGUUUCUAGGAUUGACGUAAUGAUUAAUAGGGAUAGUUGGGGGCAUUAGUAUUCAGUUGUCAGAGGUGAAAUUCUUGGAUUUAUUGAAGACUAACUACUGCGAAAGCAUUUGCCAAGGAUGUUUUCAUUAAUCAAGAACGAAAGUUAGGGGAUCGAAGACGAUCAGAUACCGUCGUAGUCUUAACCAUAAACUAUGCCGACUAGGGAUCGGAUGAAGUUAAUUUUUUAAUGACUCAUUCGGCGCCUUACG